AGCCUCAUUCUAGAUGGAAAUAAGUACUACCAUUCAUGGUGUCCAGAAAUUGUUAACGUGGCUACAAUAAGACACAGGUUAUGCUUCCAUUGCAGCAAGUUGAUUGCAGUGGUGACAUUGAGAACUGUAACAUUU
ensembl:snoRNA